rnacentral:rRNA from 1 species
AGGAGGUUGGCUUAGAAGCAGCCAUCCUUUAAAGAAAGCGUAAUAGCUCACUGGUCUAGUGAUUUCGCGCGGAAAAUAUAACGGGGCUAAAAUGAGUACCGAAGCUUUAGAUUUAGUUUUUAACUAAGUGGUAGGAGAGCGUUGUAUUUAGCGUCGAAGGUAUACCGGUAAGGAGUGCUGGAGCAAAUACAAGUGAGCAUGCAGGCAUGAGUAGCGAUAAAAGGGGUGAGAAUCCC